rnacentral:rRNA from 1 species
GUAAGCAUGACGCCGCCAUGCUGCAUGAGUGAUGAAGGUCGUAGGGUAGUAAAUCUCUUUCACCGGGGAGGAUAAUGACGGUACCCGGAGAAGAAGCCCCGGCUAACUUCGUGCCAGCAGCCGCGGUAAUACGAAGGGGGCUAGCGUUUUUCGGAAUUACUGGGCGUAAAGCGCGCGUAGGCGGAUAUUUAAGUCAGAGGGAAAUCCCAGGGCUCAACUUGGGAAUUGCCUUUGAUACUGGCUUCUAGAGUACGGAAGAGGUGGGUGGAAUUCCGAGUGUAGCGGUGAAAUUCGUAGAUAUGGGAGGAACACCAGUGGGAAGGCGGCCCCCUGGUCCAUUACUGACGCUGAGGCGCGAAAGCGUGGGGAGCAAACAGGAUUAGAUACCCUGGUAGUCCACGCCGUAAACGAUGA